rnacentral:rRNA from 1 species
UAACAGGUCUUCGGAUGCUGACGAGUGGCGAACGGGUGCGUAACGCGUAUGCAACCUGCCCUUUACUGGAGAAUAGCCCAGAGAAAUUUGGAUUAAUACUCCAUAGUAUUACAGAUUCGCAUGUUUCUGUAAUUAAAGUUCCAACGGUAAAGGAUGGGCAUGCGUGACAUUAGUUUGCUGGUGAGGUAACGGCUCACCAAGACUACGAUGUCUAGGGGUUCUGAGAGGAUGAUCCCCCACACUGGUACUGAGACACGGACCAGACUCC